rnacentral:lncRNA from 1 species
UGAAAGGUGAAGCAGGUCUACCUAUCUCAAAAGUGUUGCUCAUAUCUGCCUGGUCUCCCAAUUCUUCAUCAGUUUCCUCAGGUGUAAGAGUAGGGACAUAGGAGGGUGGGAAAGUAGGUGGCACAAUAGUUAGCUCAUGACUCUGCUUCUCAUCCCCUAUGCGGGUGACACUGUCAUCAUCAGUAAUCUGAACAGUCUGAAUUGGAGGUCCCUCUAAAACACGAGACUGUUCCUCAAUUGCCUGCCUGGCUAUCUGCCUCCACAACUCAUUCAAUGUUGGCUCAGAAGAAGUAGAAGAUUUGGAAGGUGGUCGGGCAGAUGCCUCUUGCCGUUCCCGUUUCCUCUGAUUUUUCUACUGUGGCUGCCUGUUAUUGUAGAUGUUGGUAGCAUAAGCUUGAGGCUCAUCAUGAGAUACAGGGUGCUCCGAAGAAGGACAAACAUCCGUAUAGUGGUCACUGGAAGAACAUAAAGCACACAACCGUGUAACAGAUGCAGAUGGAGGUGCUAGUCUCUGGUUGGAUGCCAGUUGUGUCACUAAACUCUCAAGAGAAUCAAGCUUGCUUUCCAAUUUCCUACCAACAGCUGAUAAAGAAUGGGUAGGCUCAUGAGACUGCAGCUGUUGUGGUUUCUGAACAGGUGGAGAAGGCAUAGAAGGAGUCUGGAAUGAUGGUUCUUGAUAUUGAUGCUCUGAAGUACAAUACCAUCCCAAGUUAGGAUCAGUCCACCUAGGAUCAUCGCUACAACCAUACCGCACAUGGAAGAAUUUGUCAAGAAACUGAUGCUCAAGAUCUUCCCAACAGGUGACGAAUCCAGGAGUAAUACAACAACACCAAUCCCUUGCCGCUCCAUGUAAUGAGUACUUAAAUGCC